GUAGGUGAACCUGCGGAAGGAUCAUUAUUGAAAUAAACUGACAGGUUGUUGCUGGUUCUCUAGGGAACAUGUGCACGCCUUGUCAUCUUUAUAUCUCCACCUGUGCACCUUUUGUAGACCUGGAUAUCUCUCUGAGUGCUUGCGCUCAGGUUUGAGGAUUGAUUCUUUUGUCUCUCCUUACAUUUCCAGGCCUAUGUUUCUUCAUAUACCCUAAUGUAUGUUAUAGAAUGUAAUAAAUGGGCCUUUGUGCCUAUAAACAUAUACAACUUUCAGCAACGGAUCUCUUGGCUCUC
rnacentral:misc_RNA from 1 species